rnacentral:rRNA from 1 species
UACGGGGGGGGCAAGCGUUGUUCGGAAUUACUGGGCGUAAAGGGCUCGUAGGCGGCCAACUAAGUCAGACGUGAAAUCCCCAGGCUUAACCUGGGAACUGCGUCUGAUACUGGAUGGCUUGAAUUCGGGAGAGGGAUGCAGAAUUCCAGGUGUAGCGGUGAAAUGCGUAGAUAUCUGGAGGAAUACCGGUGGCGAAGGCGGCAUCCUGGACCGACAUUGACGCUGAGGAGCGAAAGCUAGGGGAGCAAAC